AGCGAACGCUGGCGGCGUGCCUAACACAUGCAAGUCGAACGUGAAAAGGGAAACCUGAGUAAGGUGGCGUACGGGUGAGUAACGCGUAGGUAGUCUACCCCAGAAUCUGGAAUAACCUGCCGAAAGGCGGGCUAAUACUGGAUAGAGCGAGGGAACUCGUAAGAGAGUUUUUCGGGAAAGAGAGCCCGCAAGGGCCUGCGUUCUGGGAUGAGCCUGCGUCUCAUUAGCUAGUUGGUAAGGUAACGGCUUACCAAGGCGAUGAUGAGUAGCUGGUCGGAGAGGAUGGACAGCCACACUGGAACUGAAACACGGGACAGACUCCUAAGGGAGGCGGCAGUGGGGAGUCUUGCGCAAUGGACGAAAGUCUGACGCAGCCACGCCGCGUGAGUGAAGAAGGACUUCGGGUUGUAGAGCUCUGUCGGAUGGGACGAACAUCUUCAUAGUGAAUAGCUAUGAGGACUGACGGUACCAGCAAAGGAAGCAACGGCUAACUCCGUG
rnacentral:rRNA from 1 species